AACUUAUAACUUCUGUGCAAGAUUGAAUCAUGUCGGGAUCGGAUUAUGAGAAGAAACGGUUUAUGAACACCCGAGCAGCUGUGAACUGCCGUUACCAGCCCACAUGUUACGAGCACGCAGCCAACUGCUACACCCAUGCGCUGCUGAUUGUGCCGGCGUUCGUGGGAAUGGCUCUGUUACACCGGCUGUCUGAUGACCGCUGGGAGCGGAUCACGGCCUGGGUGUACGGCAUGGGUCUGAUCGCUCUGUUCCUCGUCUCCACGGUCUUUCACAUCAUUUCCUGGAAAAAGAGCCACUUGAGGGCCAUGGAGCACUGCUUCCACAUGUGUGACAGAGUCGUCAUAUACUUCUUUAUCGCUGCCUCUUAUACACCAUGGCUCAAUCUCCGGGAGCUCGGGCCGCUCGCCGCUCACAUGCGCUGGUUUGUGUGGCUGAUGGCGGCCGCUGGGACCAUCUAUGUGUUCAACUACCACGAGAAGUAUAAGUUAGUGGAGCUGGCCUUCUACCUGACCAUGGGCUUCUUUCCUGCGCUGGUGGUGACAUCAAUGAGUAACACAGACGGGCUGUACGAGCUGGCGUUCGGAGGCGUGGUCUACUGCCUGGGUGUCGUCUUCUUCAAAUCAGACGGUGUGAUUCCGUUCGCUCACGCCAUCUGGCACGUGUUCGUGGCUCUUGCUGCUGCCAUCCAUUACUACGCCAUCUGGAAGUACCUGUACCGCAGUUCCUCGCUGGAGGACAUCAGGGAUGCUUGAGUUUCCUCCUCCAUCACCAAAACAUCACAACCGGACGAUCCCAACACCAACGGUUACCAAUUAAUGAGAUUUACUUCGAUAUCGACCGUGCAAUAUUGGCAAACUAAACAUUUCUGAACUAAUGCUCUCUUUCUGCCAUGAUAUCUCUUGCUAAACGGUGGCAGCAAUCGCUCCUCAUGCCAUCAUGCACAUGACGACCUGACAGCAGCAGGAUCAUCUUUCAUCAUUCCGUGGUUUCUGUGGUGUUUCUGCAGGAGACGCUGUGACACUGUGAAUGCGUUCGGCUUUGAUCGCAGUUUGACUGUGCAGUUCUGUUGUAGCACUGAUCUGAAAGCGAUUCAGGAAACUUCGCAGCUUCUCGCUAUUUAAGUGUUUUUCACACAAAGGCUGAAGCUCUUGUUUUGUAAUAUUUUCACUGUGGUGGUCUAUGAACAUGCUGCAUCUUCUCGUGUUGUGUCGGAAUAUCCAUAAUCACUUGUUCAUCCUGUAAUUACAGACUUAAAAGUGAAAGUUUAUGCUAGCACUAAUACAAGUGAAAGCCUUUUUUUCUUCAUGGUGUUUGAUUUUUAUUUUUUUUGUCCUGUUUUUGUAAUUCGGUCAUGCAGAGUUUGAUUAUGAUUUGGGGAUGUUUGAUGAGAUGUGUUAGGACUGUAUGAACGGAGUCAUUUUGACCACCUCUUCUCUGGGACAGACUUUUGUAAAAAUCUUUCUACAUCCUGUUUUAGCACAUAAUUCUGCACUGGCCUUCUCAAAUCCAACUACAAAACCUCUUCUAACGCUUCUGAUGUCCUCAUCACACAUCAUUCUAGUGUUUCGGUGCUGGUGUUACUAUAAAGACUACAUGUGUCCAAUAAUGAACAAGUUUCUAAAGUGUUAAUAAACACGAGCUGUAACUCUCA